rnacentral:rRNA from 1 species
UGGGGAAUAUUGCACAAUGGGCGCAAGCCUGAUGCAGCCAUGCCGCGUGUAUGAAGAAGGCCUUCGGGUUGUAAAGUACUUUCAGCGGGGAGGAAGGGAGUAAAGUUAAUACCUUUGCUCAUUGACGUUACCCGCAGAAGAAGCACCGGCUAACUCCGUGCCAGCAGCCGCGGUAAUACGGAGGGUGCAAGCGUUAAUCGGAAUUACUAGGCGUAAAGCGCACGCAGGCGGUUGAUUGAGUCAGAUGUGAAAUCCCCGGGCUUAACCCGGGAAUUGCAUCUGAUACUGGUCAGCUAGAGUCUUGUAGAGGGGGGUAGAAUUCCAUGUGUAGCGAUGAAAUGCGUAGAGAUGUGGAGGAAUACCGGUGGCGAAGGCGGCCCCCUGGACAAAGACUGACGCUCAGGUGCGAAAGCGUGGGGAGCAAACAGG